rnacentral:rRNA from 1 species
UGGGGAAUAUUGGACAAUGGGCGAAAGCCUGAUCCAGCCAUGCCGCGUGUGUGAAGAAGGUCUUCGGAUUGUAAAGCACUUUAAGUUGGGAGGAAGGGCAGUAAGCGAAUACCUUGCUGUUUUGACGUUACCGACAGAAUAAGCACCGGCUAACUCUGUGCCAGCAGUCGCGGUAAUACAGAGGGUGCAAGCGUUAAUCGGAAUUACUGGGCGUAAAGCGCGCGUAGGUGGUUCGUUAAGUUGAAUGUGAAAGCCCCGGGCUCAACCUGGGAACUGCAUCCAAAACUGGCGAGCUAGAGUAGGGCAGAGGGUGGUGGAAUUUCCUGUGUAGCGGUGAAAUGCGUAGAUAUAGGAAGGAACACCAGUGGCGAAGGCGACCACCUGGGCUCAUACUGACACUGAGGUGCGAAAGCGUGGGGAGCAAACAGG